rnacentral:rRNA from 1 species
CAAUAGCGUAUAUUUAAGUUGCUGCAGUUAAAAAGCUCGUAGUUGGAUUUCGGGUGGGAAUGGCCGGUCCGCCGUUUCGGUGUGCACUUGCUACGCCCACCUUGCUGCCGGGGACGUGCUCUUGAGUUCACGCUCGGGACACGGAGUCGGCGAGGUUACUUUGAGUAAAUUAGAGUGUUCAAAGCAGGCCUACGCUCUGAAUACAUUAGCAUGGAAUAACACGAUAGGACUCUGGCCUAUCUUGUUGGUCUGUAGGACCGGAGUAAUGAUUAAGAGGGACAGUCGGGGGCAUUCGUAUUUCGUUGUCAGAGGUGAAAUUCUUGGAUUUAUGAAAGACGAGCUACUGCGAAAGCAUUUGCCAAGGAUGUUUUCAUUAA